GAUGAACGCUGGCGGCGUGCCUAAUACAUGCAAGUCGAGCGAACGGACGAGAAGCUUGCUUCUCUGAUGUUAGCGGCGGACGGGUGAGUAACACGUGGAUAACCUACCUAUAAGACUGGGAUAACUUCGGGAAACCGUAGCUAAUACCGGAUAAUAUUUUGAACCGCAUGGUUCAAAAGUGAAAGACGGUCUUGCUGUCACUUAUAGAUGGAUCCGCGCUGCAUUAGCUAGUUGGUAAGGUAACGGCUUACCAAGGCAACUAUGCAUAGCCGACCUGAGAGGGUGAUCGGCCACACUGGAACUGAGACACGGUCCAGACUCCUACGGGAGGCAGCAGUAGGGAAUCUUCCGCAAUGGGCGAAAGCCUGACGGAGCAACGCCGCGUGAGUGAUGAAGGUCUUCGGAUCGUAAAACUCUGUUAUUAGGGAAGAACAUAUGUGUAAGUAACUGUGCACAUCUUGACGGUACCUAAUCAGAAAGCCACGGCUAACUACGUG
rnacentral:rRNA from 1 species